rnacentral:tRNA from 1 species
CGCGGAGUGGAGCAGCCCGGUAGCUCGCUAGGCUCAUAACCUAGAGGUCGUGCGUUCAAAUCGCACCUCCGCAACCA